AGGUAAGCCUUCCAUCAAAGGGAAGAAGAAACAAAACACUGUAUUUACAAAAUGGAUAAACUCUUUGCUCAGGCUCCCUUUCCCUCAAAAGUUCCACCUGCCUCCAAACCGAAAUACAGAAGGUAAGCAGUUUGGUGCCAUCCCCUCUGAACGUAUUUUCCUUGGGAAGGAAACAGUUCCAAGGCCCAGUUGCCUCCACACACGCCCUUGUCUCCGUCCCCUCCCUCUUCCCUGUGCAACCUUCUCCAACUGCUCGCUGCGGUCCUUCUCCCAGAGCUAUAGAAAAAAAUUGUCCGCAAUCAGGGAAACGGAUUAGCUCCAAAUUCGGGAAAGCAGGGACUUGUUCCUGAGAACUAGAAGAGCAAAUUCAGAGGAGAAGCCGCAUCGGGCUUCCGUCUUGGAAAAUCCUAUUCCUUAAUUUUCCCAAUUUGGCCCGCCAGUCUGUAGAAGUGACUGCGCAGCCUUAUAAUGAAGAGCAUGGUGGCCUCUCCCCUGCGGUAGCAGCUUCUAGAGCCUUUCCGCAACCCCUCAUUUCCAAUCCCUUCUUUCAGUUUAAGGGACAGCCCACCCUGCGCCAACGCCUUCGGCUGCCCUCCUCCCCCACCGCACCAUUUCUUUGGGAAGACGACUGUCAUCGCUUUCUGGGGAGCUUGCUCUGUUGCAGGCGAAGAGACAGUCACAUGAUUUUGAAGACUCCGGUCUUCACGUCCCCCUUCCUUAUCACCCGGAGAGAAGAGAAACAGCGGAAAUUUAACACUGGUAACUUAUUCUUAUUUCAUCUGAAGAACUUGUCCUCUAAAAUGCCACUAAAUAAGUCAAUUCGGUGAACAGUGAAGAUGCAAGCUGAAAAGGGGAGGAAAGGGGUUGGGGGAGGGGCAGGGACUAGGAGGAAAGGAAUGCGGGGAAGACCCUAAAUCUGUUUGAUCCAUAGGUUCAAAACCCGCCGCGGCCUGGCCCGCAGCGGCCUCCCCCGCCUCCCUCGGGCGCUUGAGUGGGAGGAGGGGUCGAGAGCCAGAGCGGAAAGGUGGCCGAGGGGCAGCGAGGGCGGCUGCGCACUGGGACCGCGCGGGGCAGGGCAGCCCGCGCUCGCUAUCCGGACUAGCAGCUCAGCCUCCUCCAGGUCCGCCGAGCCUUGCCGCGGCUGACAUCAUCGCCAGAAGGAGGGGCUGCCCGGGCGGAGGGGCCGCUGGAAAACUGGGUUCUCAGGCCUCGCUUGCGGAGGCUCUCCCUCGCCGCUGGGCAAGCGCAGCGCAGCGGCAGUGGCGGCCGGACGCAGCCCGCGUGAGCUGCGCGGGACAAUUCUUAAUUUAGCAGAGGGAGAAAGGUCUCUUUAGACCUCAGCGCGUCCAUCUGUGAAUUCUUUCGUCAAAACCGGCCGCACACCGUCCGCGCUUCCUUCGAUGAACCAGACAAAGGCAAGAAAGGGGGGAAAUACGUAUAAAUGCUAUUACUUCGACUUGCUUUCAAAUGCUGCCUCCGCCCCCGACGCACACACUCACGAAAGGACAGCCCUGAGGCUAUCCUCCCGCCCUGACUGUGCUAGUUUGUUUCAAACAAGAUUGAGUGGAAUUCCAUUUUGUUUUUUCCAAGUUCAGAAGGUGCCCCCGCAAGUGCCCUUCUUUUUCUUUUUCAAGUCACACCUGUUUUAACCUCUUAUGGGAGGGGGAAGAGUCGUUUUAGUCAUAAAACGCCGCCACCUUCUCCGGUGUUGUGCUCAAUGUUCAGAAUUCUGCUCUGCACGCUCCUCAGGUUGUUCCCUUGUUGUAGCGCCAAGAGCACGCCAGCACCUCCUCUUAACACCAUCACCUCCACAAACCCCAAUAUUUUCUGCCCUGUUCCCCGCGUAUACCUAUUUUUGAACACUUUCUUCCACACACUUUCCUUCAUACUGCAACAGCUCUGGUGCUAGGUUUAAAUCCCAUCUUGGGAUGUUUCCACAAAAGGACUUGCUUUUGCUUUGUUCUUGAUAUUUAAUUUUAUUUGUCCUUUUGUCCUAGUCUCUCUUCUCUCCAGUCUUUGCCUUGUGGGUGUGUGCCGCAGCGGCGCAAGUUUGGAUUCCCAUCCCCGGAACCAACAUUUUGGAAGGGCACCCGGCUCAGAGGCUAGGGCCCGCCUGCAGACGCGCGCGCACACGCACCCCAGCGCCCCGCACCCCAAGCCGCAAAGGCGGCCAAAGCAGCGAAGCACGGAGUAAUUUAUUCUGGAAGCGAAGAGACCGUUUUCACUUGAGGUGUAAAAGUCUUAACUUGGGGGAGGAAAGGAAGCGGUUCCUGCUCUGCACUCUUGGACAGUGACCCCCACCCGUUUUGCCAGGAGAGAAGUCAAUUUGCGGCUAAGCGCUCGUGUGCAAGCAAGUAGUUUCCCGAACCGAGAGCAGACUGCUGCUCCACUCUUCUAAAGUCUCUAAAGAAAACGACCCAUUUGAGGCUAGGUGCUUUUAAGAAGUCAUCUUCUCCGAUGACGCUCUUAUUAAGAGGCAUUCAUUUUAGCGAAAAGGGACCAUUUGAUGGCCACGCGCUUAAAAAAAAUCACUUUUGUGGAGAGAUGAACUGUUUUUCGGUUCUACCUUAGAAACGUCAUUCAUUUAUGGGAUAGGUAGGCGUUUUUUUGGCUAAGGGAUUAAAAGUCAUUUCCUUAGAGAAAGAGGAACCCUUUCCUGUUCUGCGCUCUUAGAAUAAAAGUCUUUUUUUUUUAAUAAGAAAAAGAUGCCGUUUUUUUGGCCACGCAAUUAUAAGAAGUUCCUUUUUUAAAAGCUAGGCAGAAUUUUACACACCUACCAUUUCCACAUCCAGCAAGUGCUGGCUGAGCACACCCCAUAAGUAGGGCGGGAAGGACGGGCGGGGAGGCAAGCGCCAGGGGAACAGCCUGGGGGAUCCUGCGUGCGCCCUGGCGCGCUGCGCUCUUCUAAGCUCUGCGCCAGGGGUCGGGUUCCCGAGGGUUAGAGCCAGCCUGGCAAGGAUCCACACUCCGAGCGCCUAGAGAUACCGCUGACCGCCCUGACUCCAGCUAGAGAGCAAGCAUCCAGCAGCACCAUUUUCUUAUACAAAGGACACUUAAGGCAAACUAGUGGAAGUAAGGGCAGGAGCCCGGCAAAGCCGCGGUUGGAGCCGAAAGACGGUGUCUGCAUAUUUCAUACUCAACUGUGAGCCGGGUCUGGUUCCUCGCUUGCCUUUCGGGUCGAUCGUCUGGGGGCAGCGGAAAGCCAGGCUUGAACAGUUACACAAUGCAGUAGACAAAACUGCAGCUGAAUUUCUUUAAUAGGAGCCUGGAAAUUAUGGCCGUAUGUGCGUAGCUGAACUUUGCUGAAGCACUGAGCUCUGAUUAAUGCAAUUAAAUGAGUAAAGGUUUUCGAGUUUUCCCAAAGUGACAUAGUAGACCGACAUAUAAGAAGAAAAUUGGAGAAGAGUUCCAGUUAAUGUUAUUUAUUGGAAAGUUAGCUAAAAGUUCUAGUUAAAUCUUAGCAUCAAUUUGGACGCAAGAACAAAAAUCAAACCAAACCAAAUAAAAAUCAGUAGUGUUACAUGAAAUCUUAUAAACAGAAUUAGUUUGCUUUUUUAGUAUACUUUGUUGUAUUUACAUUUUAUCAGAAUUUGAGCUUUCAAAUUUCCUGUGAAAAUGCCAUGAUAACGAACUCCUGAAAUAUGAACUCCUGUGACUGGCAACAUAUUAACUUACGUGCAGUUUGCUUAUUGCUUUAGAGUAAAAUAGAGUACAGGUCUAAACAGUUGCCUGCCAGCUUUUAUAACUUAAUGUACUCUAAAGAAAAAAAUUUGUCUCCUAAGACUAUAAUCUCUAAUGAAUGGAUGAAAAUGAAAGCUUCAUAUAUCCUAUGACUAGAAUAAAAUAAAUUUUAUUAUAAACAAAGUGUUAUUAAAGCAAAAGCAGUAGUAGUCCUGUUAUGUAGUGACCCAUAGUCACUGAAUCUCAGUUAUAAUACAUCUUAAAAUAGGGGUGACGAUACAAAAACAUUGCACUCAAGC